AACGAACGCUGGCGGCAUGCCUGACACAUGCAAGUCGAACGAGACCUUCGGGUCUAGUGGCGCACGGGUGCGUAACGCGUGGGAAUCUGCCCUUGGGUCUGGAAUAACAGUUAGAAAUGACUGCUAAUACCGGAUGAUGACUUCGGUCCAAAGAUUUAUCGCCCAGGGAUGAGCCCGCGUCGGAUUAGCUAGUUGGUGAGGUAAAAGCUCACCAAGGCGACGAUCCGUAGCUGGUCUGAGAGGAUGAUCAGCCACACUGGGACUGAGACACGGCCCAGACUCCUACGGGAGGCAGCAGUGGGGAAUAUUGGACAAUGGGCGAAAGCCUGAUCCAGCAAUGCCGCGUGAGUGACGAAGGCCUUAGGGUUGUAAAGCUCUUUUACCCGGGAUGAUAAUGACAGUACCGGGAGAAUAAGCCCCGGCUAACUCCGUGCCAGCCGCCGCGGUAAGAC
rnacentral:rRNA from 1 species